rnacentral:rRNA from 1 species
UACAGAGGGUGCGAACGUUGCUCGGAAUUACUGGGCGUAAAGCGCGUGUAGGCGGGGUGGCAAGUCAGAUGUGAAAGCCCCGGGCUCAACCCGGGAACUGCAUCUGAAACUGCGAUCCUUGAGUGUCGGAGAGGGUAGCGGAAUUCCUGGUGUAGAGGUGAAAUUCGUAGAUAUCAGGAGGAACACCGGUGGCGAAGGCGGCUACCUGGACGACAACUGACGCUGAGACGCGAAAGCGUGGGGAGCAAACAGG